UAAUUAUAUAGCCCUGGGAAAUGGAUCUUCCACUGAAUUAAGAAAAAGAGGCCUCCUUCCUUGUCCUGAGAAGGACUUCCCUGUCAGUAUCCCUGCAACCCCCUCCUCUCAGCUGUGAUCCAACUGCUGAAACAAAGCCAAAUUGCUGCUGAGGCCCAGCAGGCAGAGGCUGGAAGCUUUCUGAGACGUUUCAGGCGCUGCCACCUUCCGGGAAGAAAGAGAAGCAUUGUGUUCAGCGGGGAAAAGAUCCUGAAAUCAUGUAAGGCAACACCAAAUAGGACCCAACAAGUAAAAAAGUGAAGGAAACUACUUCAAAUGUGGCAAAGUUGAUCCUCAGAUUCACGAUUCUUUCCCAGCCCUACAGACAAGUUCAACAUCUUAGGUAUGGGAAAACAAACCAGAUAAACAAAACCACAAAACA